AUUGACUACAAUUACCCUUUUCAAAUACAAUUAGUCUAGGUUUGACCUUGGAGUUUUCUCGCUACUUCGUACAUUCGUACACUCUACUCUCUCUCUCAGUUUUCCAUUGAAGCGCACUCCCCCGUUCUCCAUUGAAGCGACUUCUAAUAUUUCUAUCUUCCAUUGAAGCAGCUUCUGAGAAACGAAAGGAUGCCUCUGGGAUUGAUACUCGGACUUGCAAGGUCAAUGCGCAGGAAGCGUACAUCAUCACUUGAUAUCCUUUCUUCAAAGAGCUAGGGCGCCAAGGAAUUUCUUCAAAGAGGGCGCCAAGGAAUUACUACAAGGGAAAGAAUUGCAAAGCCCACUGGAUUUCACACCCACAAAGGUGGCUAUGUUGUGGUGCAAGAAAAGCUGCCUAACUACGUAGUACCUGAUCUUACCGAUUUCAAGCUGAAGCCGUAUGUUUCUCAGUGGCCACUGAAUGCCAAGACAACUGCUAAUACUGAUGUAUCAACAUAGAUUGACAACACUAGAAUUAUCCAAGCCUUCGAGUUGUUUAGCUGUUUCGCAAUCAAUAAUUUCUGGGUAUAAUUUUUCAAGCAAGACCUCAAUGAAGCUGGAUUGAGAAUUGACUGUCUUGUUUGUUUAGCCAUCAUACUUUGUUUAGAAAAACGCAAAUUGUAUGAAAACUGAUGGUCUAAACAGUU